GGGUUGUGACAGAUGCUUCAAACCCUCUCCGCAAUUGCAACUGAAGAAGCUUGUAUGAUUUGCAAGGAUGACACAACCUUGUCUGCAAUUGCAUUCGAAGAUUCUCGUUUGAUUUCCACGAAGAAGGCUUUCAGUUGUCCAGGCCAGGCCAGGUGACCAAUGACGAUGAUAGAUCGGGUUCGAUUCAAGCUAUACGCUUGGUGUAUUUGGUUAUCGUGACUGGCGACUUGAGUCUAUCUCAUCUCAUUUCCAAAGCGCGGUGGCUGGGUCCCAGGCAUGCUUGCCACUUUGUUCCACGGUCCUCAUCUAAGUUUCGACGGUGAUGACAUGGACUUAGGUUCAAAGUACGUGUUCCCCUUGAGUCAUUGUGGUUGAUUGAUGGGGGCAAUUAACGGUUGCGUGUCGCUAGUCAUUCAAUUGGUCCCCUUGUUUUAGAGUGUUGGCGGGAUAAGUCGUACGAAUGUUAACAAUAGUAUGCAAUAGCUGGCCAGCGAUCCCCUACCUGAUCUCGAGGGGGAUGGAAUGACUGGGGUUAUAGACCUGUUGUUAACCUGCGGAAUUUCGUCGGACGAAAUGUCAGGCGUGUCCGUGUGGGACUUGUGCUAAACCAGUUUAGUACAUAUGACGAAGACAUUGGGCUCUUUGAAUAACAACAGUGUUCUUGACCUUCUUGUGCCUCACAAAGCUAAUAAUAUACACCCCCUGAAAUCGACAAGACGGUGAUGAAGAAGGAGAGCCGGCCUCCAGCUUGAGAGCCAAGAAGACACUGGACCCCGGGGAUAUGUUGCUGCCAAUGUUGGAGCCAUACAGGCCCGAUCCAACAUUGUGCAUAAAGGGCAAGGGACACGAGGACAAGGGACACUUAGGAUAUGGGACACAAGGACAAGGGACACAAAAGACGAUGUUGCAGUCUACAGGGCUGUGCAGAUGACUGGAGAUGAUGGCUGUGGAGUUGACCCAAUGAUUCCACAACGAUCUACGAUGCGUACUGAAGCAAGAACGACUCUCAAAGACCCAGAAAACAACAGAUGCCAACACUUCGCACCAUGAUAAGAUGCCUUCAUACCCAUCCAAUUUGGGGGAGACAGCCUAAUUGACCUUCAUGGGGAUCUUCCUGGCAGAUGUUGUAUGACGAAGAAUUCAAUGCAUAUACACCAUGCUUGGAUGUGGGUCUGAGAGUCUGGUAGAUUCAAUAGAUGGAAUCGUCUCGCUCAGGGAUAUCGGCGGUGGACACUUACAUCGUGUGUCAUUCGAAUAGACUUUGACGACAAUCGAAUUGAUGCUCUAAGGGGACUCUGAUGACUCUAAGGACAUAGAGCCCUUCUCAUUAUGUAAUGUGACGCCAUAUCCAGCAGCCACCAUGGAGCCAGCUCAUCUGUUACAUAUGGAAGGAUGCCAUCUCAAACGGAGAUGAGCCAUCCCACAGAAGGGAGGAGGAUGUUGCUGAGCCAGCGCAUCUCUACCAUGCUCCCGUCGCCGUCAAGGAGUUUGGAUUUUUGUCACCGUAGGCCUUACCCUUUUAUUGCAAUAUCUGAUUGAAAGGUGAUUUGAUAAAAAUCCUGAUAUUUUAUUUUCCGAUUGCUUGAGGGCAAUUUUUUGCCUUCUUUCGGCCAAUGACAAACUCUUGCCAUGGCUCAAAACCGUACACAUUUAAAAACGAGUUUAAAAAUGGGGGGAGGGUGUAAUAAGGUAACCAGGGGAACCAGGGCAUGUCACAAGCCCAGAAAUUAUUUUCAAGCAAGAUUAAUGAAAAAAAUAAAAAUGUGGAGGGGAUGUUCUGGCUAACAGGACAGCCAACAGGGUAAGUUGAUACCCAAACAAAACAUUCGCAGUAGCCUUGGGUACAGUGGGACCCUACCGGCUGCUUCAGAUUUGUUUCAAGCAAAAAAGAUCUUUCUGCUUAAAAAAUCACCGAAUUCAUCAGAUAUUGCAUUUGAUUAUGUCCAUCACAUGAGACAUGGGGUUCACAUGACAUUCGCUUUGCUCUAACCCCAGGCAAAGCGAAUGAACAUGUGUGUCUUGAUGGAACUGUAGGCCUUUUUACUGUUUCUUGAUCUCCUCAGUACCACAGAAUCCACCGGCAUUUAAACACCACCUGGGCCCAGGCGCCAAAGAUCCUUCGUAUCAUUGGCUGGCUCGGUUGCUCAGUGUCUUUACCUUCAAACUUUAGACAACUGACCAACAACACAAAUCUAGUGAAUUCUUAUUUCCUUGUCACUUUUUAAUCAAUACCUGUGAACAAAAAAAUCACGGGAUGCAAAACAUCUCUUCACCAAUUAAACUGAUAUUUGAUAAGCUUUGUCAAUAAAACUAUUGUUUUAUUCAAACUUAUCAGAAUAAGACUGGUUCUUGAUCCUACCUAUAGCGAUCUCACAG